rnacentral:rRNA from 1 species
AUUGAACGCUGGCGGCAGGCCUAACACAUGCAAGUCGAGCGGAGCGGCGGACGGGCGAGUAAUGCCUAGGAGUGUGCCUGGUAGUGGGGGAGAACGUCCGGAAAGGGACGCUAAUACAUCACGCUAUCAGAUGAGCCUAGGUCGGAUUAGCUAGUUGGUGGGGUAAAGGCCUACCGAGGCGACGAUCCGUAACUGGUCUGAGAGGAGGAUCAGUCACACUGGAACUGAGACACGGUCCAGACUCCUACGGGAGGCAGCAGUGGGGAAUAUUGGACAAUGGGCGAAAGCCUGAUCCAGCCAUGCCGCGUGUGUGAAGAAGGUCUUCGGGUUGUAAAGCACUUUAAGUUGGGAGGCGUUACCAACAGAAUAAGCACCGGCUAACUCCGUGCCAGCAGCCGCGGUAAUAC